AUUGAACGCUGGCGGCAUGCCUUACACAUGCAAGUCGAACGGCAGCGCGGGGCAACCUGGCGGCGAGUGGCGAGCGGGUGAGUAAUAUAUCGGAACGUGCCCAGUCGUGGGGGAUAACGUAGCGAAAGCUACGCUAAUACCGCAUACUAUCUAUGGAUGAAAGCGGGGGAUCGCAAGACCUCGCGCGAUUGGAGCGGCCGAUAUCAGAUUAGGUAGUUGGUGGGGUAAAGGCUCACCAAGCCAACGAUCUGUAGCUGGUCUGAGAGGACGACCAGCCACACUGGAACUGAGACACGGUCCAGACUCCUACGGGAGGCAGCAGUGGGAAUUUGGACAAUGGGCGCAAGCCUGAUCCAGCAAUGCCGCGUGCAGGAUGAAGGCC
rnacentral:rRNA from 1 species